rnacentral:lncRNA from 1 species
CUCACGGGGUUACCUGUCCUUACAGGCUUCGUUCCGAAGACUUAACCCCUGAAAGCACUAACGUGUCUCCGACCGAUGCCGGAGCCUGUCACUUAUGCUCCUUGCCGCUUUCCCCGCAGCUGUCUACAGUAUUUGAAUUACUGUCUUCUUCGCAUUUCUGGUUACUAGUCAACAACUGUUUAAUUUCUAUCCAAGGAUGAUUAAAUCGACGUACACUGAAACAAGAAAUAUGCACUCACAAUACUAAAGGAUGACCUGGUCCGUGAUACUUUGGUCGCUUCCUCUGCUUAUUGGUUCGACAAGCCUCCUAGGUCUGGUACGCUGCUGGCUCACACCUACUACUCAACCCUCAACGAUUUAGGUGCGGCUUUUCCUCUCUGGGCAGGAGCAGUAAUUGCCCGUUUUUGCCAUAAAUCUAAAGCGUGUGGAUGGUGGGAGAGAGAAGCUGCCUUUUCCUCUGUGGGGCCAACCAUCUGGAGACAUUGGGACGAGACUUGUCUGCACAAAGAGAGAAUGACAUCAAACUACACCAAACAUUUGGAAAUUUCGGGGCGAGAGACUUGAGGACGUGAUUCGAAUCCUGAGGUCGCCUCCCCCUGAUGCGGGGCAGGUGCUGGGAACACAGCAUGCAACCGGCAAGAGGCCAUCUCUGCCCUCAGGAGGUCUUGGAGGAGCCUGGUGGGAGACACAGCUACAUAACCAGGAGACGGCAACUCCGGUGCUCAACUAGGAACUCUACUGGGCUCUUUUCCCUCACUGAAAUCCUGGAAGCACCUGCCAUCGCCAUCUGCAUUUUACCAACGAGGAGCCUGAGGAUC